GCGUUGGUGAUUCAGUGGUAGAAUUCUCUCCUUUCAUGCGGGAGACCCGGGUUCGAUUCCCAGCCACCGCA
rnacentral:tRNA from 1 species